rnacentral:rRNA from 1 species
AUGCUUUCUAUACUGGAAUUUGAACAUGAUGAGGGAUUGAAGGACAAAGACGAUGCAUUUAUGAGUCUAGAUGCAGAGGUAGAUGCAGAAGCAGAUGCAGAAGCAGCGGCUGCAGAAGCAGGAGACGAAUCAUUCUUACGUAGCAUCAUUGAAGAUGAAGAUACAGAAGCAAAAGUUGGUGAAGGUGCCAAUCCAAAAGCUGCUCAAGAUGACAAGCCAAAAGGACGGAAGCAAAUGGCGUCAAGAUCAAAAAUCUGGGAGCAUUUUACCAAAGUUUUUGAUGACAAGGGGUUAGUAAAGGAAGGAAAAUGCAAGUAUUGUGACCAACCAAUUCAAGCUACUACAUCAAUCAAUGGGACAACAGCAAUGCGCAGGCACUUUGGUACAUGCAAGCGCAAUCCAAAUAAGAAAAUGGAUCCAAAUUAG